rnacentral:rRNA from 1 species
UGAGGAAUAUUGGUCAAUGGGCGAGAGCCUGAACCAGCCAAGCCGCGUGAGGGAUGAAGGCCCUAUGGGUCGUAAACCUCUUUUGUCAGGGAACAAAAGGCGCCACGUGUGGCGCUCCGAGUGUACCUGAAGAAAAAGCAUCGGCUAACUCCGUGCCAGCAGCCGCGGUAAUACGGAGGAUGCGAGCGUUAUCCGGAUUUAUUGGGUUUAAAGGGUGCGUAGGCGGCGAUGCAAGUCAGCGGUAAAAGCCCGGGGCUCAACCCCGGCGAGCCGUUGAAACUGCAGUGCUAGAGAAGGCGAGAGGUACGCGGAAUGCGCAGUGUAGCGGUGAAAUGCUUAGAUAUUGCGCAGAACUCCGAUUGCGAAGGCAGCGUACUGGCGCCUGACUGACGCUGAGGCACGAAAGCGUGGGGAUCGAACAGGAUUAGAUACC